ACCACUGUGCUUUAACGGCCGCGGUAUCCUGACCGUGCAAAGGUAGCGCAAUCACUUGCCUUUUAAAUGAAGGCCUGUAUGAAUGGCAUAACGAGGGUUUAACUGUCUCCUCCCCCAAGUCAAUGAAAUUGAUCUGUCCGUGCAGAAGCGGACAUAAUCACAUAAGACGAGAAGACCCUGUGGAGCUUCAGGUAAAAGCCACAUGUGUAAAGAAACUUACUAAACCCAAGGACAUUAAAACCAUACAAAACUGAAACAUAAAUGGCCUGCAUACCUUCGGUUGGGGCGACCAUGGGGAAAAAAAUAACCCCCAAGUGGAAAGGGUAAUACUAACCCUAAGCUAAGAAAGACAUUUCUACGCAACANAAAAUCUGACCAUUAAUGACCCAGACCUGACGAUCUGAUCAACGAACCAAGUUACCCCAGGGAUANCAGCGCAAUCCUUUCCAAGAGCCCAUAUCGACAAAAGGGUUUACGACCUCGAUGUUUGGAUCAGGACAUCCCUAAUGGUGCACAAGCUAUUAAGGG
rnacentral:rRNA from 1 species